CGGUGCCAUGGGCUGGGUGCUACCUUUGUACAUGGGCCUCCCCCAUGGGUGCGUGAUGCGGGGACAUGAUGUGCCUCCUGGGCUAAUGUUACAGAUCGAUUUGCAUUUACCUCGUUAGAGUUAGACCUGUCAUCACCUUCUUCCUGGCGCACUGGACAUGGGACGGGGCCCCAUGGAUGGGAUGGAGUUCUUCUUCGAAGAUGACGAUUCGGGGGCGGAUGCAGGGUCUAUCUUACAAGGGGAAGUAGCUGCAGUGGAAUUGGCUGUUGCUUCUAUUCAUGGGGCUCGCACACGCAAUGGAGAUUAGAUUUCUUCCCAUGCAAACAGUGAAGGAAUGGAGUCCGGAGAGAACGGAGGAGGACGGCACCCAGAAGAGACAAUCAUGACAGAGGAGAUUAUCGAUUCAUACAUCUGUGGUAGCGAGGUGGUGGCCGAUUCAAUGUCCCUUGAAAAUAUGAGCGGCCAAAGAAGAUGAGAUGCAGAGGGAGUGGUCGUCUCAAAAUCACAGGGCUCCUACUGGACACGAAAGGAAGUUUACUUGUGAUCUAAUCUAUUAUUUUGUGACUCUGUAUAAUGGUAGCACAUAAUGGAGUAAACGAGUCUUCAUGUGAAAUUGACAAGUGAUUAUGACAUGCAAAGCAUCAGAUAUCUUCAUUUUUCUGGUUCAGGAUCCCAUGUGUGAUUCAACAAUUAAUUGGUGUCCAUGUUAAAAUUUGCAGAAUUAGGAUCAGUUAGGAUGCAGAUGAGAGGGAGAACAAUCCCAACAGAGUGCCUCCUGCGCUUGAGGCUUCGAUACAUUCUUAUGCUGAUAACAAGGCAGGUACUGUUGUUAAUCCAGCUAGCUUCGCUUCCGUCGAAGAAGUAUAUGAGUUUUACAACUUGUACUCUUUGGGAGACUGACUUUGGUGUCCGGUAUGCAAAGAGCCAGACUCAAUGUCCAUGGGAUAAAGUGCAUGCAUGCGCGGGUAAACCACUGCAGUCCAAUAGCAGAUCAAAACGGUGUGGCUGCACUGCUAUGAUGUGGCUACUGAGAUCGGAUGAUAACGGUUCGUACGGGUGCGAGCAUAGGUCAGAAAUGAUCAUGAACUCUCUGUUAACUGUAUGGAGAAGUUACAUUUUUUUUUUGCGUGGAAAUGGAGAAGUUACAUUGAAAGUCGCAUCGACACAUGUACACCGGGGACAUGGUAAAAGAACAAAGAAUGAAAGCACAUGCAAAGUUUACAGCAUCGUGGCCAGUUUUUUUGGUGUCAGUGAAGGAGGAUUGCGUCGCUGUGGGUCAUGAUCUUGAAGAGGGUUGCGGCCACUUCGACCCCUUGUUGGCGUUAAUCCCACCGAGCCAUGCAGCAAGUUAUGAAUCAGAGCACAUGUUCGACGAUAUUUGACGGCGCUGCGGCAACUGAUGGUGCAUGCUCUGAAGACGAAGAAGUCACGAACAAGCCUGCCAAAAAAGCCAGGAUAGUUUGACCGCCUAGUGUAGAUUUUAGAGCAGGAUUGGUUAGCCCUGUUUCAUAUCUUGUGCACGAUAUACUGGUGUGUGACUUGUCCUAGUAAUUGCCUAUGUAAUUGCGUUUA